UACGGAGGGAGCAAGCGUUACUCGGAAUUAUUGGGCGUAAAGGGCGCGUAGGCGAUUCGAUAAGUCUCAUGUGAAAUCCCAGGGCCUAACCCUGGAAUGGCAUGGGAUACUGUUGGAUUUGAGUUCCGGAGAGGAAGGCAGAAUUCCCGGUGUAGCGGUGAAAUGCGUAGAUAUCGAGAGGAACACCUGCGGCGAAGGCGGGUUGCUGGGCUGACACUGACGCUGAUGCGCGAAAGCUAGGGGAGCGAACAGG
rnacentral:rRNA from 1 species